AACAUCAAUCCCCAAGGGUUUUCUUGAACCCCUGGUGGACUUGGACUUGGGCGUCUGCCUCACAAGGCUCGCCUCAAAUGACUCUGUGGGAACUUCUUGUCACCUACGCCAGACGUAAUAAGUUUCGUCCGGCCGGUCUCGAGGCCCGCUCACAACACCCCAUAUCUUUUGA
rnacentral:misc_RNA from 1 species